rnacentral:lncRNA from 1 species
AACACCAAGGAAGAAGGGUGGGAAUAUUGUAAGAGCUAGUGAACCAGGACAUCUCCUGUGAAAACAGUGUCUUCUACAAAUAUCAAGGAAGCUGGGCCCAUAGCAUCUCAAAUAUAUGAUCACUUAAAUAAGACUGGCCCCACUGGGAAAUCUCAAGGCUCUACACCUCUAUGAAAAGUUACAGUGACUGCAAAGAGGGAGAAUCAGUCUUGUUCCAGAGUGAGGCCCCUGACAGGUUACUCAGUCCUAAGAGGAAUACCUGGACCCACAAGUGACGAAAGACAGAAAGAAACCUCUUCCGAUGGCUUGAAGGAUGCUGAGUUGUUGCCAAGUUAUUGGUAAGGCAUCAAGCUCAUUUUCAUAUGCAGUGUCUGAUUUCCUUACUGUGGUGAAUAGGUGAUAAUGAAUCUCCCUUGGGUGUAAA